rnacentral:tRNA from 1 species
CCAUCGUCUAGUGGCCUAGGACACUACCCUUUCACGGUAGAUACAGGGGUUCAAAUCCCCUUGGGAACGCCA